AACGCACGAGACCUGCGGACCUGCGGAAGGAUCAUUAACGCGCCGUGGAGGUUGCCUUUAAACAGGUCUGACCCUCCACCUGGCCACCCUUGUUUAUCUUUAACCUGUUGCUUUGGUGGGCCCGCUGCAAGGCCGCUGGAGAAUUUAAAAGUUUUCUGGCCCGUGCCCACCAAAGUCCUAGUGAACUCUUUGUUAAUUUUCUGCUGUCUGAGCAUUAAAAGAAACAAUUUUUAAAACUUU
rnacentral:misc_RNA from 1 species